rnacentral:lncRNA from 1 species
AACCGCAUAAGGAUCAUGAGUCAUUAGACAGAAGAAAAUAAAUAGGAAUGGGCAUUCCUAGUCCAGCUUGAGCCACGUGAGGACUGUACUUCACUGGCCUAGAAACCAUCAGGAAAUACGUAUAUAC